CCAGCUCUGCGCAGAUCGAUCACCUUAUGACAAAGAGCAUGCGGACUUAGAAUAACAUCUCUAAAGCAUACAGAGCAGUCAGUUCACAAAUAGCUCUCACUGUGCUUUGAUGUCGCCGAUCCGUCUGCGAUCAAACAUCAGCGGCACGAGUGUUCACCGGUGGUGUUCCGCUCGCGCGACAGGCGGGAAUUCAAAAUAACGGAUCGCAACAACCUCUCGACUGUCCCAUUGGAUAAUUUUCAGUAUUUUCCAGUUGAGCAGCAAAAAAAUGGGCAACCAAGGCCAACAGACCAGCCC